GUCUCUUUUGAGGCAUCAGAUAAAAUUUGAACCAUACAAAGUAGAUUAGCUAGGUCCUUGUGCACGAUGACUUGUCCUAAUCAAGUUAAGAAAAGGAUUUUA